UUGCUUCAGCAGCACAUAACCUGAAAUUGGAAUGAGUCAGAGCUGAUUAGCAUGCCUCCUGUGCAAGGAUGGCACACAGAUUCAUGAAGCAUUCCAUGUUUUU